UGCGUAGGCGGUCUUGUAGGUCAGAUGUGAAAGCCCACGGCUCAACCGUGGAAUUGCGUUUGAAACCACAAGACUUGAGUAAGAUAGAGGUAAGCGGAACUGAUGGUGGAGCGGUGAAAUGCGUUGAUAUCAUCAGGAACACCGGUGGCGAAAGCGGCUUACUGGGUCUUUACUGACGCUGAGGCACGAAAGCUAGGGGAGCGAACG
rnacentral:rRNA from 1 species